GUGUCAGCCGCCGCGGUAAUACAGAGGGUGCAAGCAUUGCUCGGAAUUAUUGGGCGUAAAGGGCGUGUAGGCGGUUCGAUAAGUCAGGUGUGAAAUCCCUGGGCUCAACCCAGGAACUGCAUUUGAUACUGUCGGACUUGAGUACGGUAGAGGAUAGUGGAAUUCCCGGUGUAGAGGUGAAAUUCGUAGAGAUCGGGAGGAACACCAGUGACGAAAGUGGCUAUCUGGGCCGUAACUGACGCUGAGACGCGAGAGCGUGGGGAGCAAACAGGAUUAGAUACCCUUGUAGUCC
rnacentral:rRNA from 1 species